AGUCUGCAAAUCCCAAAACGGAAUGAGAAGAAAAGAAUAGAAUUUUUUUCUAGGGUUUCGUGUUUGUUGUUUUGCAUUUAGUUUAGCUUCUUUGGAUGUCUGUUCUUCCACAGAGGACGAUGAUCCCUUCUGUAUCAGAGACCACAUGCGGCACUCUUCUCCAAGAAUUACAGAGGAUUUGGGAUGAAAUUGGAGAGAGUGACAGCGAGAGGGACAAGAUGCUUCUGCAGCUUGAACAAGAUUGUCUUGAUGUUUACAGAAGGAGGGUUGAGCAGACUAGCAAGUAUAAGGCUUAUCUACAUCAAGAAUUGGCCGAGGCGGAGGCUGAGGCUGCGAGCCUCAUCUCUGCACUUGGAGAACGAGCUUCCUUCUCUCUAUCUGAGAAUGCAAAGGGUACUCUUAAAGAGCAGAUAAGUGCCAUAAAUCCUGUCUUGGAGGAUUUGAGACGGAAGAAAGGGGAAAGGGUGAAGGAGUUUAUCGAGGUUCAGUCGCAGAUUGUUCAAGUUUGUGCAGAAAUGACUGGUACUGUCCAGCUUGAGAAUUGGGCAAAUUCCCAAGUGGAUGAGCGGGACUUGACUGUUAAUAAAUUGGGAAACUUGAAGUCUCACCUUCAGGAACUCCAGACAGAGAAGAGUCUAAGGUUACAGAAGGUUAGUGGUCAUGUUAACUCUAUCCAUGAGAUGACAGCCGUAAUGACAAUUGAUUUUCUUAAAAUAAUAAAUGAGGUUCAUCCAAGCUUGGUUGAUUCUUCAAAUAGUCUAUCAAAGAAUAUAAGCAACGACACCCUUUCUAGAUUGGCUGGAGUAGUUCAUUCGCUACAAGAAGAGAAAAAGAAAAGGCUGCAAAAGCUUCAAGAUUUGGGGAGCACACUCAUGGAAUUGUGGAAUCUCAUGGACACUCCUGUUGAUGAGCAAAAAAGAUUUGAUCAUGUUACCUCUUUGAUUUCUGCCUGUGUCAAUGAUGUCCCAAGGCAAGGAAGUCUUGCCCUUGAUCUCAUUGAGGAGACGGAGGUUGAAGUUGAGAGAUUGAAUGUUCUGAAAACUAGCAAGAUGAAGGAACUGAUCUUGAAGAAGCAGAAUGAGCUUGAAGAAACCUGCAGGGGGGUUCAUUUGGAUGUAGAUAGUGAUUCAGCUCGGCAGAUUCUCAUGAGCCUUAUUGAUUCUGGGAAUGUUGAUCUAUCUGAUUUGCUAACAAGUAUGGAUAGUCGAAUUGCAAAAGCUAAAGAGCAAGCUCUAACUAGAAAGGAUAUUUUGGACAAGGUCGAGAAAUGGACAUUUACUUGCGAGGAGGAAAGCUGGCUUGAUGACUAUGAAAGGGAUCAAAAUCGGUAUAGUGCUGGCAGAGGAGCACAUAAAAAUUUGAAACGGGCAGAGAAAGCACGGAUAUUGGUUGGCAAAAUACCAUCUCUCGUUGAGAAUUUGACAACCAAAGUUAAAGCAUGGGAAGAGGAGAAAGGAAUCCCAUUCAUGUAUGACAAGGUUCCAUUGCUACAGAACUUAGAGGAAUAUAGAGUACUGCGCCAGGAGAGAGAAGAGGAUAAACGUAGAUAUCGGGAACAGAAGCGGCUACAGGAGCAGCUCGCUGCAGAACAGGAGGCACUCUUUGGGUCAAAACCAAGUCCAAUGAGGCCGCCUACAUUGAGAAAGCCAUUGGGUCAGAACACCAACUCGAAUACAAUGGUUGGAACUCCAACAGGUCGCCGAAUGGCAACUUCUUCAGGGCAUCAUGUGAUCUCAGCCGGCAAGGAACGAAAAGACAAUGGCAAGAUUGGUGCUGCAAUUCCUGUGAACUAUGUUGCUCUUUCCAAGGAUGAUUCAGUAUCACGCAAUGCUUCAGCUGUUGUGUCUCCUUGAAUUUUCUGCUGUUCACAAUUGUUUUAAUUGUAGUUUUAUGCACAUAUAUGGAGGCAAUAUAGUUUGAUAAUAUUGAACUUCUUUGCUCCUCUUCCUCUAAUGGGUAAUGGUUUUGUACCCUUGAAUGCUCUUGAGUAUGGUACAUUAAUUCAGAUUACAAGUCAUGUGA